rnacentral:rRNA from 1 species
CACCGCGGUUAAACGAGAGGCCCCAGUUGAUAACACCACGGCGUAAAGGGUGGUUAAGGAAAGUAGCAUAAUAAAGCCGAAUGGCCCUUUGGCCGUCAUACGCUUCUAGGUGUCCGAAGCCCAAUUAACACGAAAGUAGCUUUAGCAAAGUCCACCUGACCCCACAAAAGCUGAGAAA